UGGGGGGAGUAUUGCACAAUGGGGGGAAACCCGUGAUGCAGCGACGCCGCGUGGGUGAAGAAGCGCCUCGGCGCGUAAAGCCCUGUCAGCAGGGAAGAAGAAAUGACGGUACCUGAGUAAGAAGCACCGGCUAAAUACGUGCC
rnacentral:rRNA from 1 species